AAAUUGAAGAGUUUGAUCAUGGCUCAGAUUGAACGCUGGCGGCAGGCCUAACACAUGCAAGUCGAACGGUAACAGGAAACAGCUUGCUGUUUCGCUGACGAGUGGCGGACGGGUGAGUAAUGUCUGGGAAACUGCCUGAUGGAGGGGGAUAACUACUGGAAACGGUAGCUAAUACCGCAUAACGUCGCAAGACCAAAGAGGGGGACCUUCGGGCCUCUUGCCAUCGGAUGUGCCCAGAUGGGAUUAGCUAGUAGGUGGGGUAACGGCUCACCUAGGCGACGAUCCCUAGCUGGUCUGAGAGGAUGACCAGCCACACUGGAACUGAGACACGGUCCAGACUCCUACGGGAGGCAGCAGUGGGGAAUAUUGCACAAUGGGCGCAAGCCUGAUGCAGCCAUGCCGCGUGUAUGAAGAAGGCCUUCGGGUUGUAAAGUACUUUCAGCGGGGAGGAAGGGAGUAAAGUUAAUACCUUUGCUCAUUGACGUUACCCGCAGAAGAAGCACCGGCUAACUCCGUGCCAGCAGCCGCGGUAAUACGGAGGGUGCAAGCAUUAAUCGGAAUUACUGGGCGUAAAGCGCACGCAGGCGGUUUGUUAAGUCAGAUGUGAAAUCCCCGGGCUCAACCUGGGAACUGCAUCUGAUACUGGCAAGCUUGAGUCUCGUAGAGGGGGGUAGAAUUCCAGGUGUAGCGGUGAAAUGCGUAGAGAUCUGGAGGAAUACCGGUGGCGAAGGCGGCCCCCUGGACGAAGACUGACGCUCAGGUGCGAAAGCGUGGGGAGCAAACAGGAUUAGAUACCCUGGUAGUCCACGCCGUAAACGAUGUCGACUUGGAGGUUGUGCCCUUGAGGCGUGGCUUCCGGAGCUAACGCGUUAAGUCGACCGCCUGGGGAGUACGGCCGCAAGGUUAAAACUCAAAUGAAUUGACGGGGGCCCGCACAAGCGGUGGAGCAUGUGGUUUAAUUCGAUGCAACGCGAAGAACCUUACCUGGUCUUGACAUCCACAGAACUUUCCAGAGAUGGAUUGGUGCCUUCGGGAACUGUGAGACAGGUGCUGCAUGGCUGUCGUCAGCUCGUGUUGUGAAAUGUUGGGUUAAGUCCCGCAACGAGCGCAACCCUUAUCCUUUGUUGCCAGCGGUCCGGCCGGGAACUCAAAGGAGACUGCCAGUGAUAAACUGGAGGAAGGUGGGGAUGACGUCAAGUCAUCAUGGCCCUUACGACCAGGGCUACACACGUGCUACAAUGGCGCAUACAAAGAGAAGCGACCUCGCGAGAGCAAGCGGACCUCAUAAAGUGCGUCGUAGUCCGGAUUGGAGUCUGCAACUCGACUCCAUGAAGUCGGAAUCGCUAGUAAUCGUGGAUCAGAAUGCCACGGUGAAUACGUUCCCGGGCCUUGUACACACCGCCCGUCACACCAUGGGAGUGGGUUGCAAAAGAAGUAGGUAGCUUAACCUUCGGGAGGGCGCUUACCACUUUGUGAUUCAUGACUGGGGUGAAGUCGUAACAAGGUAACCGUAGGGGAACCUGCGGUUGGAUCACCUCCUUACCUUAAAGAAGC
rnacentral:rRNA from 1 species